rnacentral:rRNA from 1 species
AUGAACGCUGGCGGCGUGCCUAACACAUGCAAGUCGAGCGGAGACCGGGGAAGUAGCAAUACGGAGCUGGUUUCAGCGGCGGACGGGUGAGUAACACGUGAGCAAUCUGCCUUCUGCUGGGGAAUAACAUUGUGAAAACAGUGCUAAUACCGCAUAAAAUCCGACCGGGGCAUCCCGGAUGGAUCAAAGGAGCAAUCCGGCAGGAGAUGAGCUCGCGUCCGAUUAGCUGGUUGGCGGGGUAACGGCCCACCAAGGCGACGAUCGGUAGCCGAACUGAGAGGUUGAUCGGCCACAUUGGGACUGAGACACGGCCCAGACUCCUACGGGAGGCAGCAGUGGGGAAUAUUGGGCAAUGGGGGAAACCCUGACCCAGCAACGCCGCGUGAAGGACGGAGGCCUUCGGGUUGUAAACUUCUUUGAUCAGGGACGAAAAAAAUGACGGUACCUGAAGAACAAGCCACGGCUAACUACGU